UCCGCGGUAGCUCAGUAGGUAGAGCGAGUGGCUGUUAACCACUAUGUCGGCGGUUCAAAUCCGUCCCGCGGAG
rnacentral:tRNA from 1 species